GGGCAACUAGCUCAAUGGCAGAGCAUGCGACUCUUAAUCGCCAGGUUCAGGGUUCGACUCCCUGGUUGCCCACCC
rnacentral:tRNA from 1 species